GUCGAACGGCAGCACGGGGCAACCUGGUGGCGAGUGGCGAACGGGUGAGUAAUAUAUCGGAACGUACCCUGGAGUGGGGGAUAACGUAGCGAAAGUUACGCUAAUACCGCAUACGAUCUAAGGAUGAAAGUGGGGGAUUCGCAAGAACCUCAUGCUCCUGGAGCGGCCGAUAUCUGAUUAGCUAGUUGGUAGGGUAAAAGCCUACCAAGGCAUCGAUCAGUAGCUGGUCUGAGAGGACGACCAGCCACACUGGAACUGAGACACGGUCCAGACUCCUACGGGAGGCAGCAGUGGGGAAUUUUGGACAAUGGGCGCAAGCCUGAUCCAGCAAUGCCGCGUGAGUGAAGAAGGCCUUCGGGUUGUAAAGCUCUUUUGUCAGGGAAGAAACGGGGCUUUCUAAUACAGAGAGCUAAUGACGGUACCUGAAGAAUAAGCACCGGCUAACUACGUGCCAGCAGCCGCGGUAAUACGUAGGGUGCAAGCGUUAAUCGGAAUUACUGGGCGUAAAGCGUGCGCAGGCGGUUUUGUAAGACUGUCGUGAAAUCCCCGGGCUCAACCUGGGAAUGGCGAUGGUGACUGCAAGGCUAGAGUUUGGCAGAGGGGGGUAGAAUUCCACGUGUAGCAGUGAAAUGCGUAGAUAUGUGGAGGAACACCGAUGGCGAAGGCAGCCCCCUGGGUCAAAACUGACGCUCAUGCACGAAAGCGUGGGGAGCAAACAGGAUUAGAUACCCUGGUAGUCCACGCCCUAAACGAUGUCUACUAGUUGUCGGGUUUUAAUUAACUUGGUAACGCAGCUAACGCGUGAAGUAGACCGCCUGGGGAGUACGGUCGCAAGAUUAAAACUCAAAGGAAUUGACGGGGACCCGCACAAGCGGUGGAUGAUGUGGAUUAAUUCGAUGCACGCGAAAACCUUACCUACCCUGACAUGGCAGAAAUCCUCGAGAGAUUGAGGAGUGCUCGAAGAAAUCUGCACCAGGUGCUGCAUGGCUGUCGUCACUCG
rnacentral:rRNA from 1 species